AAUGCUUUUGUAAUAAAACAAACUAAAACAGAAAAAGAAAUAGUUCUUAUCAGUUUAAUAUCCGAUAUGUCCUCUACCCGAGGACUAUAUAUUAAUCUGAUUUUUGGAACAGGGAGACGGAAGAGGGGCUUGCUCUCUCCGCUCCACGCAUUGACCCGGUAUUGCAGUGACUCCAGGAAUGGUGCACAUCCC